UUUCGUUUAUCCAUACUGGGAGUUUGCAUUUUGCGGAGUGUGCGAGAUUCUAUAAAUUAUGUGGCACCGACUGGACAUAAUUUCGUGGAGCUCAUGAAGAUUUGGCAAUGCAGCCAAAAAAUAAUCGAUCUAUUCCUAGAUUAAACAAGGGAAAACGGAGCAAGCUUCUACCACUUCAUCUGUCAUUCAAAAUACAAACGAAUCAAACUUAUUCGAAUCAGCGCACGCUUCUGCGUUUAGGCAUGUGAGCAUUGAAGCGGUUGAAUCAAAUCAGUGGCUUCAUACACGAGUUUCUUCUGAGAACGGGGAAAUGGUUUUGGGCACAAUUCAUCCGGACGCUGAUGCUCUCACACGGAAAUCCCACUUUCG